ACGCGCCUGGCCGAGGAACGCCGGCUGCGGCUCGCGGCCGCGGUCGAGCGGGUGCUCGGGGCCCUGCGCGGGUC
rnacentral:tRNA from 1 species